rnacentral:rRNA from 1 species
GACGAACGCUGGCGGCGUGCCUAAUACGUGCAAGUAGAACGCUGAAGGAGGAGCUUGCUUCUCUGGAUGAGUUGCGAACGGGUGAGUAACGCGUAGGUAACCUGCCUGGUAGCGGGGGAUAACUAUUGGAAACGAUAGCUAAUACCGCAUAAUAUUGACUAUUGCAUGAUAGUCAGUUGAAAGGUGCAACUGCACCACUACCAGAUGGACCUGCGUUGUAUUAGCUAGUUGGUGGGGUAACGGCUCACCAAGGCGACGAUACAUAGCCGACCUGAGAGGGUGAUCGGCCACACUGGGACUGAGACACGGCCCAGACUCCUACGGGAGGCAGCAGUAGGGAAUCUUCGGCAAUGGACGGAAGUCUGACCGAGCAACGCCGCGUGAGUGAAGAAGGGUUUCGGAUCGUAAAGCUCUGUUGUAAGAGAAGAACGAGUGUGAGAGUGGAAAGCUCACACUGUGACGGUAUCUUACCAGAAAGGGACGGCUAACUACGUG